rnacentral:lncRNA from 1 species
CAGCAGCUUUAUGCCACUUAGAUGCUUUCUGAAAGAAAUAAUAAAGUGGUACAGAAUGUCCUUCUGUCACAGCACAAAGCCAAGAGCACCUCUCCAUCUUUCCUCAGGCCGACAAAAGGGGAUGGGAUUUUCAGUGAUAUUGCUGCAUCAUAGACGCUGGCUUUCAGAUAAUGUAAAUAUGUGAGAAUGUGUUUUGUCUCAGGAAUCAAGCUGGAGGCUAAGUCUGACAUCCAUUACUAUGCUAUUGCCACAACACCAGAAAAUACUCUUCCAGCAAUUUAAUAUUUCACAUUCACUUUCAAACAUCAUAAUGCUGGGUCAGUACUUUCCUUUUCAUUUUUAGGUGAUAAAAUUUUUAUCUUCUCCUCUACCUAAUAAAACACAUGCUGCACUCA